rnacentral:rRNA from 2 species
UACGUAGGUGACCAGCGUUGUCCGGAUUUACUGGGCGUAAAGAGCGCGCAGGCGGUCGUUCAAGUCGAGUGUGAAAGCCCCCGGCUCAACUGGGGAGGGUCACUCGAUACUGAUCGACUUGAAGGCAGGAGAGGGAAGCGGAAUUCCCGGUGUAGUGGUGAAAUGCGUAGAUAUCGGGAGGAACACCAGUGGCGAAGGCGGCUUCCUGGCCUGUUCUUGACGCUGAGGCGCGAAAGCUAGGGGAGCAAACGGG